ACUCAAGUAAUUUAAUUUAAAAUGUUGAUUUGUGAUGUCAAAUAUGUAAUUCUCUGCCUUGGGUU
rnacentral:tRNA from 1 species